rnacentral:rRNA from 1 species
UACGUAGGUGGCGAGCGUUGUCCGGAUUUACUGGGCGUAAAGAGCGCGCAGGCGGUCGUUCAAGUCGCGUGUGAAAGCCCCCCGGCUCAACUGGGGAGGGUCACGCGAUACUGAUCGACUCGAAGGCAGGAGAGGGUAGUGGAAUUUCCGGUGUAGUGGUGAAAUGCGUAGAUAUCGGGAGGAACACCAGUGGCGAAGGCGACUACCUGGCCUGUUUCUUGACGCUGAGGCGCGAAAGCUAGGGGAGCAAACGGGG